AAAAACCCACCCUAACC
rnacentral:miRNA from 1 species